CGCUUCUGACCUGGGAAAAUUAGAAAUCAAUCAACUUCAUUGACAUUGUGUACUUCCGGGGACCUGUAUGACAUCACCAUGACAACCCUGUUAUGACCGUAACAGGGUCAGAAAUGGCCAAUGAGAUGCUGCCCUGCUCCGAGACAGGGCUGCAGUGUCCAUGCUGUACAAAUUGACCAGGUGGGAUUGAGAGGGAGGUGUCUCCAUGGUGAUGUGGCUUCAGUGUUCCAUCUGUCUCUGGAUCUUCCUCUGGCCUUCAGCAGGGUGUCUCUCCCCC